GGUUUCGUGGUGUAGUUGGUUAUCACAUCAGUCUAACAAGGGGCAGGUCGAACCGCAAGUUCGACUCGUUGAUUUGGUACACUGAAGGUCUCCGGUUCGAUCCCGGACGAAACCA